UCCCCAGCUGCUAAGCAGAGGGAAUGAGUGAGUGGAGGAAUGGUAAUGAAGAUGGCAAGCAAAAGGGUCACACCCUGUGGUGCUCAGGGGUUAUUUCUGUCUCUGCAUUCAGGAAUCAUUCCUAGCAGACUGGGGGAGACCACAUCAGUUGUAGAGGAUCGAACCUGGGUCAGCUGCAUGCAAGUUUCUUUCUAUGCCCUAUUUGGGGGCACUGUCUUAGGAGAACCUGCCCACCAAAUGGGGUAAAGAGCAAAUGAGAACAUC